GAAAUUUCAUUCGCACUAGUGAUAGCUAGUUUUCUCGAAAAGAUAUAAAAGUGUCGGGAAAAAUAUAAUUUAUAAUAUGAAUUAUUAUAUAUACAUGUAUUUUACUAAUUUUUUUGAGGAUAAGCUCAAAAAAAAGUUAAGGAUUAUUCUUAAUUAAGUUUGCUAUAUGGGCUUAAAAUUGGCCGCUAUAAAAGUUUUUUAUAAAAUAGUAAUUUUAGCCUUACAGAUAAAUAUAAUUUAAACUAACUUUUUACGGGGAUCAAAGCUUUAAUUAACAAAAGUUUUAUGCCUAUGCUAGAAUGAGUAUUCAAACUUCAUUAUAAAAGAUUUAUUUGUAUCUUCUAUAAAAAUAAUUAAAAAAAUUAAUUAAUUAGAAGGAAUUCGGCAAAUUUAGUUGUUUCGCCUGUUUAUCAAAAACAUGGCUCUUUGGUUAUAUAAAUAUAGAGAGUCGGCCUGCCC
rnacentral:rRNA from 1 species